CAGCAGCCGCGGUAAUACGUACCGGACAAGUGUUAUUCGGAAUCACUGGGCUUAAAGAGUGCGUAGGCGGCCUAGCAGGUGGGGUGUGAAAGCCCACGGCUCAACCGUGGAAUUGCGCUCCAAACCGCUAGGCUUGAGGGAGACAGGGGUGAGCGGAACUGAUGGUGGAGCGGUGAAAUGCGUAGAUAUCAUCAGGAACACCAGUGGCGAAGGCGGCUCACUGGGUCUCUUCUGACGCUGAGGCACGAAAGCUAGGGGAGCGAACGGGAUUAGAUACCCCGGUAGUCCUAGCUGUAAACGAUGAGCACUAGAUCGUGGGGACUUCCACAUCCUCUCUGUCGUAGCGAAAGUGUUGAGUGCUCCGCCUGGGGAGUAUGGUCGCAUGGCUGAAACUCAAAGGAAUUGACGGGGGCUCACACAAGCGGUGGAGGAUGUGGCUUAAUUCGAGGCUACGCGAAGAACCUUAUCCUGGUCUUGACAUGCUUAAGGAAUCUCUGUGAAAGCAGAGAGUGCCUCUCGGGGAGCCAGUGCACAGGUGCUGCAUGGCUGUCGUCAGCUCGUGUCGUGAGAUGUCGGGUUAAGUCCCGCAACGAGCGAAACCCAUGUCUCUAGUUGCCAGCGCGUAAUGGCGGGGACUCUAGAGGGACUGCCGGUGUCAAACCGGAGGAAGGUGGGGAUGACGUCAAGUCCUCAUGGCCUUUAUGACCAGGGCUGCACACGUGCUACAAUGCGUUGUACAAAGGGUAGCGACCUCGCGAGAGCAAGCCAAUCCCAAAAAGCAACGCCCAGUUCGGAUUGCAGGCUGCAACUCGCCUGCAUGAAGCCGGAAUCGCUAGUAAUCGCGGGUCAGCAUACCGCGGUGAAUAUGUUCCUGAGCCUCGUACACACCGCCCGUCAAGCCACGAAAGUGGGGUGCGCCCGAAGUCGCUGAGCUAACUCCGCAAGAGAGGCAAGCGCCGAAGGUGAACUCCGCGAUUGGGACUAAGUCGUAACAAGGUAGCCGUA
rnacentral:rRNA from 1 species